UGCACACUUGUGCGCAUUUUGUUUUUUAUAUAUUAUAUGUAUAGAGUUUGGUUGUGGUUUUUAUGUUAAUGUUUGCUCAGGAAUAGCUAUUUUUUUUAUAUUAAAAGCAAAUGCAUUUUAUUUGCAUCCCUAAAUACCUCUUAGGACAAUUAAAAGUAACGAGCCAUUCCUGAACCAUAUAUUUAAGUUUGUCAGGUUGUUCGCCACCUAACACCAGGCUUAGAAACCGUUGUCGGCAGCGAGCGACCUGAAGAAGGCAGUACGGAGAGCUCAGCGUAAGCUACAGGGCCAGAUCAGUCUUCUCCGGAUUUGAAAAAUUAUUACAGCCAAGAAGCAAUGGCUGCCACAAAUUAAUUUGAGGACCGUGGCUCUGGACGUAAUUUCUCACGGAUGAAUGUCAUCGACUUGAACACCUACUACUCAAGAGCUCUACAGAAGGCUUCCAUCAUCACCACUACCUUCGUCACUGCUUUAUUAUGGACCUAAAUGACUGGCUAUUUGUUGAGAUCCUUCUGAUGUUUCGGAAAAUAAGGGGCAAUAGUGCGGACCGAAUGCAGGUUCUCUGACGGAUAGAGCGAGAACGUCCACGCUAAGUUUACAAAGGUUUUGCAACUCGACCAGGAUCAUCCUAUUCGCCAGUCAUAUCCUUAUUGUCAAUUGUCUAGUUUUUUCAGUUUAUUUUGUAAAUUAAAAUAAUUUUUAUAA